GCCGAUUCAAAACACGUGUCAAAAUCCGGCGUCAACAUAUGCCCCCCAGUUUCGGAGUAAAAUGCAACUUUUACUUUGAAAUUCUUCUCAAUUUUAACUCUUUCUUCGAGGUAAGCGCGGCAAAGACUCCUUUCAGUUUCGCAGUCUUCUAUCUGAUGAUUACAAUCUUUUUGAACUAGGCGCCCAAGGCAACCGCUCCUCCGAAAUUUGUGUAGACGGUGCGGUAAAAAUCCUUCCUUUACCCUUCUCUUGAUCCGUCUUUAAAUACAUGCAUCCUCCACCGCUUCUUCUCCACGGGCUCAGAAAUUCUUCUUUCCCCGGCGAACCAUCUUCCAUCACACUCUGGCGCCCCUUCAUCUUCGAGCCGCAUUCCUCUGGCAAUCCUUCUUCCA
rnacentral:lncRNA from 1 species